UUACGGCCACAACAGAUUGAAACACCCGUUCCCGUACGCUCAUCGAAUCAUCGAAGUUAAACAACGUUGCGCGUGAUCAGUACCUAGAUGGGUAACUGCUUUGGAAUACCAAGUGCUGUAAG